UGGACGCCACCGAGGUGAUGCAGGUCUCCUCCUCGCUCGAGAACUCGGGGCUGUCACGGGAUCGCUCCACCUCCAGACUACAGCACCCGCCCAUCACCCCACCCUCACGCCAUGGCCCCCGCCCCGCCCCGCCCCGCACACUACAAGACCUCUUCUGGGUACGGCUUUAACCUACUGCCGCUCAUCGACCACGCAAUACACAGGGAAUACUUAAGAGUAGUGGUGGUGGUGGUGGUGAUGCCUCGUCCACCAGUUGCUGACGGAGGGCCAGUGGUGCCAGUGCCGAGGUGUCACGCACGUCCACACCUCACAAUUACUUCCACCCGUCAGUGCCUGUCAUCACGGAGCUCGAGUUACCAGCGUGUUUGUUUACAUUGCCGCGCCGGGGAAGGUUUUGUCACCGCGGCGAUAAAGCGUGGCGUGAGGAAGACGACAGCAACCCUUGGAUUCGAGUUUCAUUAUAGUCCAGUCUUGUACGUGUUGGAGGGCAGGAUGAGAGCGUUACGAGAUCAAGGCCUCACUUAUUGUCAGGGUUGGUAGAGACGAUAUGACAGGAAGGUUCAGAUAAGAAUUUUGAAGGUUAGGUGACACGAUACAAGCCUUACAAGAUCAGUGAUGGCCAGUCGUUGUAUAUACUCAAUCCUGUAACGUGCUGAAUGGCGGGAUGCUUGCGUUACGAGAUUAUGGAGUCACUCGUGUAUAUAUAUGAGGGGAAGAUAUACAAGGAAAGUUUUGGCAAGCAUUUACAGGGUUAGGUGACGCGAUACAAGCCUUACAAGAUCAGUGAUGGCCAGUCGUUGCAGAUACUCUACUCUGUAACGUGUUGGAGAUUAUAGUCACUCGUAUGUGGGGAAGAUAUACAAGGAAAGUCUUGGCAAGCAUUCACAAGGUUAGGUGACACGAUACAAGCCUUACAAGAUCAGUGAUGGCCAGUCGUUGCAUAUACUCUACUCUGUAACGUGUUGAAUGGCAGGACGCGAGUGUUACCAGAUUAUAAUGUCACUCGUUGUUAUUUUAAGUAAGGGAUAUAGGUCAGGAAAAUUUUGUCAAACAUUCACGACAUGGGUGACACGAUACGACGACUACGAGUUAGGUGAUUAGCUUCAACAGGGAGCCAACUAUCUGUGGCACUCAAUUCAUGGACACGUGGGCAACUUGGCACUCCAUCGCUCACUAAUUCUUAACCCGGUAGCAGCGACGGGCCAAAUAUGUGGCUUUACAGUAUACCAGCGUCGGGCCAAAUUCUUGCCUUGACAUAAACCCCAAAAAUAGAGGAUACAUAAACUGAUCACAAAUGCAUUAAUACAUACAAUAUAUACUAAUGGUUGGCGUGAGUGAUGAUUUUUUUCUCAUUAAUUCGCUUAGAGGGCCUUUAAGAAACAUGAUCCCCGCAGCUACUGGGUUAAAGAUCACCACUUCUUGUAUGAAACGGGAUAUAUGAACAAACUUAAAACAGGGAAUGAAUAGCAGUAAGAGGGUGAGUAUAGGUGGGUCGUCUGGUGAGUGUGUGAGUGUGGAGUGAGGCAACACAGGCAAACGGGAACUGAGAGUGAGGAGAGCUGAGGAAGCGCUGAUACAGACCGACACACACGACUCGUCAGCGAUAGCGGCUACACCGGGGACACGUGGAGCCAAAUCAACCGCAUGUGUGAAUGAGGGACAUUAUCAAACGCAUCGGGCUCCAAUUACGAUCAUUUUCAAAGCCCACAGGGGAGAUUAACCGUUUUUUUGGGGGGUGCUCUUCCCGUUCAGAUGCAAAGGCUAUGUAAAACUAUCACUAGGAUCACAAAACAGGCAAUAAAAAAGCACAGGAAUUUCUACGUAAGGCUUUGAAACAGGCGAACCAAGGUGCCGAACGUUCAAGAAUACAUUACGAUUAUUAACCGAGACCACAGAAGAGGUUAACCGUUUUUUUGGGGGGUGCUCUUCCCGGCUUUGUAAAACUAUCACCAAGGUCACAAAACAGUCCAGCAACUAAUACGAAUGUCUUUUCAAACGGGUGAACUGAAGUGCUGAGACGUUCAAAUAUAUCAAGCUCCAAUUACGUUCAUUUUCCAAGACGACGGAGAUGAUUAACCGGGUUCUGGUGUGUACUUUUCCCGUUCAAGGUCCAGAGGCUUUGGAAAACUAUCACCAGGAUCACAAAACAGUCCAGCAACUAAUACGAUUGGCUUUUCAAACGGGUGAACUGAAGUGCUGAGACGUUCAAAAAUAUCAAGCUCCAAUUACGUUCAUUUUCCAAGACGACAGAGAUGAUUAACCGUUUUUUUUUUUGGAUGCAUAGGACAGGA